GGGUUGUGAGGUUAAGCGACUAAGCGUACACGGUGGAUGCCCUGGCAGUCAGAGGCGAUGAAGGACGUGCUAAUCUGCGAUAAGCGUCGGUAAGGUGAUAUGAACCGUUAUAACCGGCGAUUUCCGAAUGGGGAAACCCAGUGUGAUUCGUCACACUAUCAUUAACUGAAUCCAUAGGUUAAUGAGGCGAACCGGGGGAACUGAAACAUCUAAGUACCCCGAGGAAAAGAAAUCAACCGAGAUUCCCCCAGUAGCGGCGAGCGAACGGGGAGCAGCCCAGAGCCUGAAUCAGUGUGUGUGUUAGUGGAAGCGUCUGGAAAGGCGUGCGAUACAGGGUGACAGCCCCGUACACAAAAAUGCACAUGCUGUGAGCUCGAUGAGUAGGGCGGGACACGUGGUAUCCUGUCUGAAUAUGGGGGGACCAUCCUCCAAGGCUAAAUACUCCUGACUGACCGAUAGUGAACCAGUACCGUGAGGGAAAGGCGAAAAGAACCCCGGCGAGGGGAGUGAAAAAGAACCUGAAACCGUGUACGUACAAGCAGUGGGAGCACAGAGCAAUCUGUGUGACUGCGUACCUUUUGUAUAAUGGGUCAGCGACUUAUAUUCUGUAGCAAGGUUAACCGAAUAGGGGAGCCGAAGGGAAACCGAGUCUUAACUGGGCGUUAAGUUGCAGGGUAUAGACCCGAAACCCGGUGAUCUAGCCAUGGGCAGGUUGAAGGUUGGGUAACACUAACUGGAGGACCGAACCGACUAAUGUUGAAAAAUUAGCGGAUGACUUGUGGCUGGGGGUGAAAGGCCAAUCAAACCGGGAGAUAGCUGGUUCUCCCCGAAAGCUAUUUAGGUAGCGCCUCGUGAAUUCAUCUCCGGGGGUAGAGCACUGUUUCGGCAAGGGGGUCAUCCCGACUUACCAACCCGAUGCAAACUGCGAAUACCGGAGAAUGUUAUCACGGGAGACACACGGCGGGUGCUAACGUCCGUCGUGAAGAGGGAAACAACCCAGACCGCCAGCUAAGGUCCCAAAGUCAUGGUUAAGUGGGAAACGAUGUGGGAAGGCCCAGACAGCCAGGAUGUUGGCUUAGAAGCAGCCAUCAUUUAAAGAAAGCGUAAUAGCUCACUGGUCGAGUCGGCCUGCGCGGAAGAUGUAACGGGGCUAAACCAUGCACCGAAGCUGCGGCAGCGACGCUUAUGCGUUGUUGGGUAGGGGAGCGUUCUGUAAGCCUGCGAAGGUGUGCUGUGAGGCAUGCUGGAGGUAUCAGAAGUGCGAAUGCUGACAUAAGUAACGAUAAAGCGGGUGAAAAGCCCGCUCGCCGGAAGACCAAGGGUUCCUGUCCAACGUUAAUCGGGGCAGGGUGAGUCGACCCCUAAGGCGAGGCCGAAAGGCGUAGUCGAUGGGAAACAGGUUAAUAUUCCUGUACUUGGUGUUACUGCGAAGGGGGGACGGAGAAGGCUAUGUUGGCCGGGCGACGGUUGUCCCGGUUUAAGCGUGUAGGCUGGUUUUCCAGGCAAAUCCGGAAAAUCAAGGCUGAGGCGUGAUGACGAGGCACUACGGUGCUGAAGCAACAAAUGCCCUGCUUCCAGGAAAAGCCUCUAAGCAUCAGGUAACAUCAAAUCGUACCCCAAACCGACACAGGUGGUCAGGUAGAGAAUACCAAGGCGCUUGAGAGAACUCGGGUGAAGGAACUAGGCAAAAUGGUGCCGUAACUUCGGGAGAAGGCACGCUGAUAUGUAGGUGAAGUCCCUCGCGGAUGGAGCUGAAAUCAGUCGAAGAUACCAGCUGGCUGCAACUGUUUAUUAAAAACACAGCACUGUGCAAACACGAAAGUGGACGUAUACGGUGUGACGCCUGCCCGGUGCCGGAAGGUUAAUUGAUGGGGU
rnacentral:rRNA from 1 species